AGUGAACGCUGGCGGCGUGCUUAACACAUGCAAGUCGAACGAGAACGGAUUAUAGCUUGCUAUAUUGUCAGCUAAGUGGCGCACGGGUGAGUAAUGUAUAGGUAAUAUGCCUCUUACUAAGGGAUAACAAAUGGAAACGUUUGCUAAUACCUUAUACUCCUUAUUAACAGAAGUUAAUAAGGGAAAGAUUUAUUGGUAAGAGAUUAGCCUGUAUUGUAUCAGUUAGCUGGUGGGGUAAUGGCUUACCAAGACUAUGACACAUAACUGGUUUGAGAGGAUGAUCAGUCACACUGGAACUGAGACACGGUCCAGACUCCUACGGGAGGCAGCAGUGGGGAAUAUUGCACAAUGGACGAAAGUCUGAUGCAGCAACGCCGCGUGGAGGAUGACACAUUUCGGUGCGUAAACUCCUUUUAUAUGAGAAGAUAAUGACGGUAUUAUAUGAAUAAGCACCGGCUAACUCCGUGCCAGCAGCCGCCGUAA
rnacentral:rRNA from 1 species